UCAUAAAGUCUUCAAAAAAUAAGAUAUAGCAGUUAAGCUAGCUAUGUAACAGAUGCUUUCAUACUAGCACUAAGUCACCGGAUCCCAUCAGAACUAGCUAGUUAAGCGUGCUUGGGCGAGAGUAGUAGCAGGAUGGGUGACCUGCAGGAAUGUCCUCGUAUUGCAUCUCUC
rnacentral:rRNA from 1 species